rnacentral:rRNA from 1 species
GACGAACGCUGGCGGCGUGCUUAACACAUGCAAGUCGAACGGAGUGGCGAACGGGUGAGUAACACGUGGGUGACCUGCCCUGCACUUCGGGAUAAGCCUGGGAAACUGGGUCUAAUACCGGAUAGUGUGGGAUGGGCCCGGGGCCUAUCAGCUUGUUGGUGGGGUAAUGGCCUACCAAGGCGGCGACUGGUAGCCGGCCUGAGUGGGUGGACGGCCACAUGGGGACUGAGACACGGACCAGACUGGGACGGGAGGCAGCAGUGUGGAAUAUUGCACAAUGGGCGGAAGCCGGAUGCAGCGACGCCGCGUUGGGGAUGACGGCCGUCGGGUUGUAAACUCCUUUCACCAUCGACGCGGUAGAUGGAGAAGAAGCACCGGCUAACGACGUGCCAGCAGCCGCGGUAAUUC